GGGGACUAAUCAGGGCCUUGAAUGCCAUGUAGACUCUCCUUCUGUUAUAUGAGAUUCUGUGUGUUUUCUUCAGUCUUAGUCUUAUUAACUUAUAUUCGUUUACUCAAACAAAUUAUAAAUAAAUGAUUGCUGGCACCUCUAGUUUAUGUAUGAUUAUAUUAUGUGAAUGGAGAAGGCCUUAUUUUUUUCUCCCUUCUUCUCAACCCCCUCUACCUUCUAUGUUCUUAGGGAUGAAUUGGCUUGGGUACGGCUUGUAUCCAACACUAGCCCACUCAUCUGUGUUUAAAGGCUGGGAUUAACGUUGGACCAAAAUGGUGACUUCUCUUGCAACUUCAUGGGUAAAGGGAGAAGGAAGUGAUCUCAGAAAUGUCUUACAUCUUUAAAGCAGCAAGUCUGUCCCCUUCGUGCUCAUUGAGAAUAUCUGAUACCUUCAUGUUUGGACUCAUCCAGCCCCCAUCUCCUCAGUCUAUCUCAGAUCUGACGGUGGAGGCUGCUUUGUCCAGGACCAACCUUUUCUCUUGCCUCAUUUCUGUUAUGCCAGCUGAUGAAGAGCAUGCUAUGCCCUCAGCUUCUUGGACUUCACCCUGGCCCUGGAAGGUUGGUGUUAUUGUUAUUAGUGGGGAUGGGACAGGUGUCUGACAUUAUACAAGCUGCUCCCAGUUUCAAAUAAUACAUUUUGAAUGAUGGGUUAUCGGCCUCAGGGAAGAUAUUUUCAGAUGAGGGAUAGCUUCGCCCCACCUGGGCAGGCUCUCACUGCAGUUUUCAUAAGGUCAGCCUUGCCCAGGUUAAUAUGGCUUUCAAAAUAAUAAAGGGGAAGGAAGAAUCAGAAUCUGUCUGCUUUCAUUAAGUUUCACCCUUGCCUGCAUAUUAGAAUAUGUAUAACUCAGCAUCAUGUAAAAGGAUGGCUGGCCUCCAGGUCAAGCUUGGUACCAAGGAGAAGACUGGGGCUCCUCAUUAAUGGUCCAGGAAGCAAAUGGGGUCAACAUCAUUAAUACCAGAGCAUCCCUAAUUCAUCUUCAGAUGAUUGAAGUACUGAGGGAGGGGCAGUGGGGGAAGCCCUGAACAUGUCAUUAGGAUCUGAGCUGUUCAAGCUUCUUUUUCUUCUAUGUAACCUCUGAAAGAAGGGCUCCCAGCUUAAACCACUGUUGACCUACUGCAAAAGCUUCUUUCUGUCUUUGCAUCUGAGCAUCACUGUGGGAAGCCUCCUCCAAGUAAAAACAGGAAAAAAAAAGGGGGGGGGAAAUCUUGCACAGAUGGCUCUGCAGUCCUCUUGAUAGCAGUAUCUUCAUCUUAUAUGGAAUUAUUGGAAAGCAGUUUGAACAGGAUUUGGAGUUCAAGGCUGAGGGAGGAGAGAAGCCCGGGGGUUCAAACAUGAUGGGGGCUCCUAUCUGAUUUGCCGUUGUUGUUCCAGAGUUCUGUUUCUGGGCCACAGAGUAGCUCCCAGGGUAUGUGUGGGCUUUAUGCAAAAAUAAUAAAGUCAACAGCCAGCCUCCCUCCUUCAGAAGGAGUUAUUUCUUGAGUGUUUUUUAUGAGCUGCCCUAGGAGGAGAGCACUGAUGGAUGGAGACGUCUAUUUCAAAGGUUUGUUUAGUUUUUCAGGGAGAAGUGAUAUUUUGGUGACUCAUCCUAACAACAGUUGUAGGGGGAAAUCUGCUAAAGGUUAAGAGCAUUUAAACAUCAGGAAGAUGAAACAGUUAAAUGACAGAGUAUAGCUUACCAAGCCCCAUGCUGGAUGCAAGGGCAACAGCUCUCAGCCUUGGCUGUGCAUCAGCAUCAUCCUUGGCACUCAAAAACAUUCAUAAAAAAAAAACACAAUCCAAUGCCAAACCCCAGGCUAAUUAAACCAGAACCUCUGGGGAUUCUCCCAGGAAGCCACCGUUUUUAAAGUUCCCCAGGUGAUUUCAAUGUGAAGUCAGGGUGGAGAAUCCCUGACCUAAAUUGUCAGAGUUGAAUAGGGUAUAAUUUUCUCCCUUGAGAAAGUAAACAGACAAUCAUGGAAAUAAAUAUACAUGUAGAAGACAUUAGACACAUUAAUAGUAAUGGCCACAAGGGAUGGGGUUUUUGGAGAGAAUGAAUAGACAAAUCUUCUUUGGAAGGAUCAGGGGAUACUUCAAGGAAGAGAUGAUGUCAGAAUAAUUUUGAGGAUAACAAAAGAUUUUUUACCAAGUUGGCAAGCAGGGAAGGAGAUUGGAGUGGGGGAAGGAAGCUUACAUGCCAUGCAUGCAGGUAGAGAAAAGUCACAAAGAUGCUGGAGAUGUCUGACCCAUAAUUAUCGGGUAUGGAACAAUUUGUGCAUAAUGGUCUCAACACCCAACCCCGAUGCUGCUCUUGACUGAUGAGAAAUCUGUGGCUGGGGAAAAAAAAAUCCUUCUUUCUCUUCAGUGGAGAUUAUAGUGUGAGAGCUGUGAGCUGGAAGGCAGUACACACAUAAUGACUUCCUUCCUGGAUGCAGGGGUGACAGGGAAGACAUUGAAUGACAGCCAAACCUUUUGUGCUAUUAAUAUUUUUAACACAUUUUAAAAGCAUUUAAUGAAAUCCAUGUGGCUUCAAGCCACCAGGAUACCAGACCCCUCUUCUUGCCCUUCAUCUUUCUCUCACCUUUUCUGCCAAAGCAUUUGGCUUUCAUGAUGACAGGUGGCUUUGAGAACAUCUCUUCUCCAGAAUGUUUUAGUAGCAGAAUUGUAUCACUUAAAUGAUGGGGGCAUCUCCAGCCUUGGUUCUGGUAGCAUUUGCCCAUGUCUGCUCGCCGACCAAGGUCCGUAAUUUAUCAAGGUUGGCAGUUGGGCAGAAGUUGUGGUUCCUCUUGGAGUGGUAAGGUCUCAUAGGAACCUUGUCAAAGUAGGCUGGGUAGUACUUGUCUAAGUUGAUCCUUUGGUCAUGCUCGCCGCUAGCAUGACUCUGCUUCCCCCAUGCUUCUGGUUCUUGCUGAUGUGGCUGUCCCCAGGGCUUCCAUGGUCCUGAAGUUGAUGGUUCUUCCUUCAUCUGAUGGUAUGUCAGUGACUGAGACAAAGGUGAUGUUAAUAUUUUUGAAGUGACAGCAUUUUCCUGAGUGGAGGCUGUAGCAUAUAGAAACAAAGACAAUGGUGGUUACAGAGAUACAAUUUAUGAAAUCUUGGCACUUGGUACAAAUUUCAAAGACAUGGUGCAAAUUUCGGCAAUGGCAUUCCUGUUUGGAAUACUGCACUGUUCAAACCAUAUACUAUCGCCUGUUGCAUUGUGAAUAGGCUGAUUUGUCAUGUGACGUCUUGUCGUUAAUGACAGUUAAUAGUGGCAUUGCCCAUAACCAUGCUGCCACAAAAGUUACAAUGACAACUUAAAAAAUAUUUUAGGGAGUUCCCGUCGUGGCGCAGUGGUUAACGAAUCCGACUAGGAACCAUGAGGUCACGGGUUCGGUCCCUGCCCUUGCUCAGUGGGUUAACGAUCCGGCGUUGCCGUGAGCUGUGGUGUAGGUUGCAGACGCGGCUCGGAUCCCGCGUUGCUGUGGCUCUGGCGUAGGCCGGUGGCUACAGCUCCGAUUCAACCCCUAGCCUGGGAACCUCCAUAUGCCGCGGAAGCGGCCCAAGAGAUAGCAACAACAAAAAAGACAAAAAAAAAAAAAUAUUUUAAAGUCUUAAUAUGCCCUAAGUGUGUUAUCUAUUUUUAUGAAAACUUUGAUUAUGUUUUUCCACUUAUAAUUUUAUUCUAUUUAUUUUAUUCUUUUUUUUUUUUUUUGUCUUUUUGCCUUUUCUAGGGCUGCACAUGGAGGUUCCCAGGCUAGGGGUCUAAUCAGAGCUGUAGCCACCGGCCUAUGCCAGAGCCACAGCAACGCAGGAUCCAAGCCGUGUCUGUGACCUACACCACAGCUGAUGGCAAUGCCGGGUCCUUAACCCACUGGGCAAGGGCAGGGAUCGAACCUGCAACUUCAUGGUUUGAGUCAGAUUCGUUAACCACUGAGCCACGACGGGAACUCCUCUAUUUACUUUAUUCUUAAUGCUCAUCAAAUGUUUUACUUGCAGUUUUUAAAAUGUCUUAUUUGCAUAUUUGUUUACUCAUAACAAGGGGUAAUAUUUUAAAAAAUUUAAAGAGAUGCUCUUUCUUCUUUUUGUGGUAAAUCAGGUUCUUCUAAUACAUCUUUAGAAUAAGAAGGAAGAGUGAUGCUACCUUGGGGAAGAGCAGAAGGUAGAAUAGAGAACAUCCUGGUGAAAGGGGAAGAAGUGGCUGAAGGUUCAUUCCUGCUGUUUCAAGUGGAGCAGGAAGAAAUGAGUUACUGGCUCAGCGAAGUAGGUGGUGAAACACAUGUGUCUUCAUCAAACUCUCUGUGAUGACAUGUAGGGAGGAGAAACCAGCUAGAGAGAUUGAUGGGGAGAUGAAAGCAGAGAGGAUUUUUUUCUUUUCCUGUUUCCUAUCUGGGUUCUGAGAGGAGAAGGAUUUAUAAGAUGCCCCCUGUGUUAACAUAAGGUGGCUAUUUCAAAAGCAGAUCAUGCUGCAGUUAGGGAAGAGUUAGCCUGAGACAGCAUCUUUAGCCUCCCUUGUGGGGACUAAACAAAGCCAGAUUUUUUUUUCUGAGUUACUGAAGGACCUGGAUGUUAGCUAAGAAUGCUUAGGAAGCUUGCUUUGGGAGCUCCAGAAGCAAAGUGAUCUAUGGUAGGGUGCGUAGGGUGGGCCACCUGCCCUGGGGGCUGAAAGGGAGUGGUCGAUAUCUGAGGGAUGUGCAGCUGGAGGAGGAUUGUGGAGGGACCUGUCACAGGCCCUGACUGGAUGGAGAGAAUAGAGAUCUUAAGUUUGCCUAUCAUGGGCUUCCACGUGGUCCACUGCCAAGCAGGGUACCCAGAAACCAGUCAGCAAGGGAUAUCACCAUGGAGACCGGAGGUGCCUGGAUUCAAUGGAUGGGCUUGACUGAGUGGAUCUGCGGCCCCUCUGUCCCUGCCACCACUCCUGCCUCCUGAUCCCCAUCUGAUGCCCCACUGAAGAAUAAGUGUAAGAAGGGGAAAUGGAAAUGGAAAGUGCCGGGAAGAAGCUAACUCACCUUAAGAGACUGUUUGAAGGGAGUUCCCAUCAUGGCUCAGUGGCUAACAAACCCAACUGGGAUCCAUGAGGGUGUGGGUUUGAUCCCUGGCCUCGCUCAGUGGGUUGAGGAUCCGGUAUUGCUGUGAGCUGUGGUGUGGGUUGAAGACACAUCUUGGAUCCAGCAUUGCUGUGGCUGUGGUGUAGGCCGGCCGUUACAGCUCCAAUUUG
rnacentral:lncRNA from 9 species